AGGAAUCAAUGAGAGAAGUAGAUAACUAAAAUGUUUGAACAAAUAAGAGUAGAAGAAACCUAAAUUAAAGCAAGGUAGAAUUCUGAGAUUGAGAAGAAACAAGAC